ACGGAAGGCAGCAGUGGGGAAUAUUGCACAGUGGGGGAAACCCUGAUGCAGCGACGCCGCGUGAGUGAAGAAGUAUUUCGGUAUGUAAAGCUCUAUCAGCAGGAAAGAAAAUGACGGUACCUGACUAAGAAGCCCCGGCUAACUACGUGCCAGCAGCCGCGGUAAUACGUAGGGGGCAAGCGUUAUCCGGAUUUACUGGGUGUAAAGGGAGCGUAGACGGCUUUGCAAGUCUGAAGUGAAAGCCCGGGGCUCAACCCCGGAACUGCUUUGGAAACUGUAGAGCUAGAGUGCAGGAGAGGUAAGUGGAAUUCCUAGUGUAGCGGUGAAAUGCGUAGAUAUUAGGAGGAACACCAGUGGCGAAGGCGGCUUACUGGACUGUAACUGACGUUGAGGCUCGAAGGCGUGGGGAGCAAACAGGAUUAGAUACCCUGGUA
rnacentral:rRNA from 1 species